rnacentral:rRNA from 1 species
UGGGGAAUAUUGCACAAUGGGCGAAAGCCUGAUGCAGCAACGCCGCGUGAGCGAAGAAGGCCUUCGGGUCGUAAAGCUCUGUCCUCAAGGAAGAUAAUGACGGUACUUGAGGAGGAAGCCCCGGCUAACUACGUGCCAGCAGCCGCGGUAAUACGUAGGGGGCAAGCGUUAUCCGGAUUUACUGGGCGUAAAGGGUGCGUAGGCGGUCUUACAAGUCAGGAGUGAAAGGCUACGGCUCAACUGUAGUAAGCUCUUGAAACUGUUAGACUUGAGUGCAGGAGAGGAGAGUGGAAUUCCUAGUGUAGCGGUGAAAUGCGUAGAUAUUAGGAGGAACACCAGUUGCGAAGGCGGCUCUCUGGACUGUAACUGACGCUGAGGCACGAAAGCGUGGGGAGCAAACA